rnacentral:misc_RNA from 1 species
UCCGGCUUAUCACCGGCAGUCCCUCUAGAGUGCCCAACUAAAUGAUGGCAACUAAAGGCGAGGGUUGCGCUCGUUGCGGGACUUAACCCAACAUCUCACGACACGAGCUGACGACAGCCAUGCAGCACCUGUGCAGGAUCUCCGAAGAGGGGCUCUCGUUUCUGAGAGCUUGCUCCUGCAUGUCAAGCCUAGGUAAGGUGGGGAUGACGUCUACACCUGAAC